rnacentral:rRNA from 1 species
CACACCCGUUCCCAUACCGAACACGGAAGUUAAGCUUCUCAGCGCCGAUGGUAGUUGGGGGCUGUCCCCCUGUGAGAGUAGGACGUUGCCAGGC